UCCAACUAGAUCAUAUAAACAAACACUUCUUAAAUGUUACAUGUUUGUGAGAAAGUCAAAGUGCUCGAGUGUUCUGGUUGGAAUCUUGUUGUUAGGGGUUCGAGGUGGUUACUAGGGUGUUGCUAGGAGUCAUUAGAGGGUUCUGGGUGGUUGCUAUGUAGUUCUUAGGGGGUUCGGGGUGGUUACUAGGGUGUAGCUAGGAGUCAGAUGAUUCUGGGUGGAUUCUUGUUGUUAGGGGUUCGGUGUGGUUACUAGGGUGUUGCUAGGAGUCAUUAGAGUGUUCUGGUUGGAUUCUUGUUGUUAGGGGUUCGGGGUGGUUACUAGGGUGUUGCUAGGAGUCAUUAGAGGGUUCUGGUUGGUUGCUAGGUAGUUCUUAGGGGGUUCAGGGUGGUUACUAGGAUGUUGCUAGGAGUCAUUAGAGGGUUCUGGGUGGUUGCUAGGUAGUUCUUAGGGGGUUCAGGGUGGUUACUAGGGGGUUGCUAGGAGUCAUUAGAGGGUUCUGGGUGGAUUCUUGUUGUUAGGGGUUCGGUGUGGUUACUAGGGUGUUGGUGUGGUGUAGGUGUGGCUCGGGUCCCUCCUUCAAAGCAAGCCUGUGAGAUUGUUUUUUAACCCAUUUCAUUGUCCAGCAGGUGUCAGGGUCACUUAUAAGUACUAAUGCUUAGUGUUUUGAACAAACUCCUAACACUGAGCACUAGUAACAGUGAUGCUUGACUUAACAAACACCAGUAAUAACACGAUCAUCAUUUCCAGCAUGAAUUGAUCAUCUGUAAUACCUGCCGUCCCACCCAGUCUAACAGACACAAAAUAUCUACUCAUUCCUUAUUCUGCUUCAUGUGUUCAGAACAAAUAGUGAUCAGCUGUUAAACACGUCACGUUUGCUUUCAACGCAUGCAGGAACCAGUGAUGUAAAACUGGCACCAUGUCAUUUUAUGGACUGACGUAAUAAAACACAAACAUUCUGACAUGAUCAUCUAACAUGUUUCA